AGUUCGGAUUGUAGUCUGCAACCCGACUACAUGAAGCCGGAAUCGCUAGUAAUCGCGGAUCAGAAUGCCGCGGUGAAUACGUUCCCGGGUCUUGUACACACCGCCCGUCACACCAUGGGAGUCGGGAAUGCCCGAAGUCAGUGACCCAACCCAAGGGAGGGAGCUGCCGAAGGCAGGCCUGGUGACGUGGGGUGAAGUCGUAACAAGGUAAC
rnacentral:rRNA from 1 species